UUAAUGCGGUUUCGAGGAGAAAGCGAUAUUCGCACUUUACCGGGAGCAUAAGUGCGGUAUAUUAUUGUAUGUGGCCUGCAAGUGUAAGCGAGGGUUCCUCCACGCGUGGAUGUAUGAUUUUGUGUGUUUCAAAGUGCGGUUUGGUGUUCCCUGUGUUUCGCCUAUUUCGGAUACAAACGGUCCAGCCCUCUGCGCUCGUUCCUGCGUUUUAUGGUGAUUGAACCAGUGAGACGUACUUUGCAUUAGUGCAGCGAAAAAGCAGAACGCCAAAUACGAAGAAACAGCAUCUUGACCUGAAGUUGUUCGAUUUUCACGGAACUUGUGUCAGACGCUGUAGUGUGUUUGAUAUCCGAUUGUUGUGAUUCGUCCGACGAACGCAACGGAGCGGCGGUAGCGCGCGAUGUGCACUAGAGUAGCACUCAUGCACCAGAGUUUCCUUGUCUGCUGGCGUAAUCGUCGAGCGUUUUUUGGUUCAUAUUAAUACGGUCACGCUGUGUCGAAUCGUCUUGAAAGCGACAAAUAAGCGAUCUGAACAGUUGCAAUAUGGAUGACGACGAGCGAACAGCAUCCCUUAAGGAAGUGGUUCAAGAAGUCGAGGAGUUCACGAAAAAGGUGGAUACGGCGAGUCUACGGGAAGUUGGUCCGGCCUUCUGUUAUUGCCUUGAUGAGUUGCUAGAAUGCAGCGAUGCCAAGUCUGCCGAUAUUCUAGGUCAAAGUCUUAUUGACGCGCUGUGGGAGCGCAUCAAUAUUGGACCAUGGCGCAGUGUACCACUUGAUCUGAGACGCAUGUUCUCCUAUGCAAGUCUGAUCCGAGCGCGAGCCGUACUUUGCCUUGGAAAUAGGUCGAAAGCAAUCGAAAUUCUUGAUCGAGGACUGGUUCUUGGAGCUCCAAUUAGAAAGGAUGCUCAAACUAACUGGCUCGCUCAAGUAGCCGGAUAUGUACAUGGGCGAUGGAAAAUCUCUGAAAAUCUCAAAAGAAUCGUGGAUCAAAUCGAAGCUGAUAACGACUUGCGUGUUGUAAGUUCGGUGGGAGCUGGAGCUCCCUUUGUGGACCAAGUAACUCUUCCCUCAAUAAAUGAGUUUUUACGCGUACUUAUUGCGAAACAGCCGAUAAAGAUCCUGCAACUGAUGGACUGUUGGCCUGCCAUGACGUGUUGGAGCCUGCGUUACUUUUUAGAAACGUUUGGUCAAAGGACAGUACCAAUUGAGGUGGGCUCACGGUAUACAGAUGAAGAAUGGUCACAGAAACUUGUUACGUUUGAAAGUUUCAUUCGAGAAUAUCUGCAACCGGCCACUGUCGAAAAUACCGGAUAUCUAGCCCAGUACAACCUACUUGAUCAAGUACAUGAAUUGAGAUCCGACAUUAUUGUGCCCGAUUAUUGCUAUGUACUAAGCGAUGCCGAACCUGACAUCAACUUUUGGUUGGGUGGGCGCACGACGUCUCCUUUGCAUUUUGAUGACCGAGAUAAUAUCCUCACUCAGGUGUUUGGCACUAAACUCGUUUUGCUUUACGGAGCUGAAGACACCGAGCUUCUAUACCCAUUUGAGAAUCAGCUACUUCAUAAUACGAGUCGUGUUGACCCGGAAAAUGCCGAUGAUCCCCGAUAUCCAAAAUUCGCGGAUGCAAAAUGUACUAAAGUCCUUCUGGAAGCGGGCCAGGCGCUCUUCAUACCGAAAGGCUGCUGGCAUUUUGUCAAAUCGCUUUCAGCCGUGAGCUGUUCGAUCAGCUUUUGGUUCUCCUGAAGUCACGUCAUACAUCUUUUUCAAUGCUGUUACAGAUCAUAAUAUUAUAAGAUGGCUCUCAAACGAUGGAGUGGCCGCAGUCUCGCUUCUACAGACGAGGCGCUUAGACGUGCCCCAGGGCUUGUCGUCGAAUUUGUCGCUGUUCCCAUUCCAGACCGCCCAACUCCAUGUACCUCUCUUCUGCUGACUCUUGUGGUCGACUGCUUUCGUUUGCUAUUGAAACGCUUGCAUUGGUUUGGAUGAUUUCAUAAGACCAUCACCUGCCGUUCCACUUGAGUCUGGCCUCUCGAUCGUCGAGCGGGUAGGAAACAUUGUCACUGUAGUGAGGACACCCGCAGGCCAACAACUUUACGUUUGUGACCUGUGUGGGGCACAGACAGAGGUUGCAACACGAUCGUUAAAGGUGCAUCUGGAGACACAUUACGGCCCGGAGAAACCUUUCCCCUGCAAGUUCUGUAAUAGCUACGCCAGUGAACGAUUUGACUCACUGAAAAAACACUAUAGAACACACACAGUCAGAAAUUGGGAUCUUCUUCACUCUCAAAAAUCCGGCCGCUUGUUUUACUGUCAGUGACUGUAAAAAGUGGUAAUUCGUUGAAGUGAGGUCUGGAGAAUAUGGCGGGUAUAAAGGAACCUUUCGCUCGAACUCUGACAGAUAAGUCUUUACAGUCUUUGUCUAGUAAUGCUAUGGAGAAGGAUGACUCUGUCUACCAGGUCUCUUUUAUUGCUUCCUUCUUUUUGUUCAAUCGAUGCAACCGGGCCAGAUAUAUAUAUAUAUAUAUAGAAAUAAUUUUAUUUUCCUAUUCUUUAGCGCGCAAAACCCUUCCAAUUUCAUCAGAUGUAACUCAUAGUCUCUCUUCGAUGAAACAAUCUGAAUCUAAGCUUCGGCGUAGUCAUUACUUUCUCUAUCUUAUAUUGAUGUCGAUGUGCCAUUUCUCAUCAGCUGGAACGACCAUGUAGAAAUAUGUCAUUAUGGCACCAUGUUAUUAGGCGAAAUAUUGAUAAUCAAUGAAAAGUCAUGCUGCCUUUUAUACUCAACGCUGUUUAUAAUGCAUUAAGGCUCUUAACUUUUGAUAAAAAUUUGAUACAUUUAAAAUACUCAAGUUAAAAAUACUCUAUUUACCGGCCAGUUAACGACUCCUUUGAUCUCAUCGUAUGGCUGACCAGCGUAGGGCACAUUUUCUAUGCCAAGAUUCUAUAUUUAAUUAUAGCAAACCUCUUUAGAGCAGUUCUCUUAGCCCAGCUAUAUAUGGAGCAUGUAUGCAGGGUUACGUCCGCUAUUGUUUUCACUUGGCAAAGGGCGAAAUACUGUCGGUGUCGAAAAUAAAUAUUUUUUUAACCUGAAACUUCGUGCGGUUCGACAUCUUGCCCAAUGACAUAUCUAUAAAAAUUCAGAUGGCAGAGAGAUAAAAGAAAAGGGGAGUAUAAAAACAGUCCUUAUCUGUAUUCCAAUCUAAUUUUUUGGAGACCGGAAAAUUUAGGUGAAAAUGUAAAGACAUAGUUUCCAGUAACCGAACGGCAUAUUAACGGCUAGCGUAGUUUAGCCAGAGCGUGACUGAACUCUUUACAAAAUGUAUUUAUUGAAAGUAUUCAUUUUGAUAGAGAAGCUGCUCUUAGUGUACUACAUUUACAUCAGUGCUGACAUCCUUAAUGGGAAUGGUAUACGUGUUUCCGCUAAACGUAAGGAGAAUAGUUAGCUUUUAUAAAGUUUAUAUCUGAGAGAAGAUUAAUGGCAGUGUUGAACUUUUAUUUAUUUACUGUAUAAAUCUUAUAUGACCAGCAUACGUGCUCUGGGUUAACUUUUAGAGUAUGUCGUUAGGUUAUUGAAACGCAAACUUUUAUUGUGACCAUUCAGGCGAGAAACCCUACGUCUGUCCAUUAUGUCUCUUCCGUACCGUAACAAAUUCAUCGUUUCAUCAACACUUCCGCAAGGAACAUGCCGACCAAACGAGUCCUGGGCACAAGGUUCAACCAAUUUUCGACUCCCCCGCUGCUUUUCCUCAGCCAGGGCCCGUCGUCGUAUCUUCAAUCAGUGGCCGACCUUCUGCUGGCGUAGGUGGAAUUCUGCCGGAGCGCUAGCAAAUAAUUGUGUAUACUCAAUAGAAACCAUUGGUCGAUAUGCAUCACAAUAGGAAUAGGCGCGGGUAUUUAACAGACAUGCGAAAACUUUAAAUACUAGACAAGACGAAACGUCUUAAACAAAAGAGCUUUAUCACUCGUGCAUGAUUUAGAAAUGAUUAGUGAAAAGUUUUAAUGUCUUACUAUUGUCAUACGGUCGAAACGUGAGAAAACGUCGAAUGUAACCAGUAACCAUGGAAUUCAUAGAUGGUAUAAUCUAUGAACAAAUAGACAUUCCAAUUUUUCCGACUGCGAAGUUGUGCCAGUUUCUGAAGCAGCUAUCAUGGUUGGUCCUCACAAGGACAUCGUCCUCGUGCCUGCUGUAUUCAAGCUAAAACGCAGCGUUCUUACAUUCCUUAAAAUAGAAAGUGAUUUGAUCUAUUUACCGACUUUAGCGCUCGGUAGUUAUACACCCGUCAAAAUAAUACUUUACGAAAUACAUUUGUCAAAUGUUACUGCCUCUUACGCAUAAAAAGACAUUGCGCAAUGGCUAGUAGAGUUGAAAUAUUCGCCGAAAACAAACGAAUCUGUUUAGAAAGGUUCAGGGGUUUUGCUGUUUUGGUAGUAUCACACAUCCAAACCUGAGCGUGUACCAGUCUAGACAAUCCGAGAAUUUUAUCUACCCUACCAGUUUUUCUGAAUUGAAACGAGACGGUUACGGCUGUAACCCUUGAUUUUCGUAUCUCUAGUUAAAUCCAUUCCAAAAUAAGUCAUUGAAAUCAUGUGCAUUUUGUUCUAAACAAAUUUAGUUUCCAAGGGUAUAAAAAUAUCCUCUGUUUUACGAUACAUAUGUUUCAUGGUUCAAACAGGAGAUGUUAAAAUUGGUGACUCGUAAAAUUCCUGUUUAGGUUUAGUACUAUACGUCAAUACAAGCGGCGUCCUCAACGGCCUACUAAUUUUGCUCAAUUAAUCGGACGUCAUCUGGAACAGUACUAGAUUUUUUUCAAUGUACACCAUGCGGCGAGGAGAAGUAACCGCAGUAACUGAUAACUCGAAGAAUCUAGCCCAAAUAGGUACUCCCUCAUUAUGAAUGCUUACGUCGGAUCUUACAUCGGAUCUUACGUCAGAUGUAAGUAGAACAUAGAUUACUAAAGGAUCAAAUAGGUUGUGUCGAGCCCAGACUAUAGAAAGUGUUUUAUUGCAGAGUAGAUUCCUUUUGGCAGGAGGUUGCUAGAGCUUUCGUCGCUCUUGCAGAAAUGUUUGUGUCAUGUUAACACUUUUUCUAAUAUGCCUUUUGUAAGCACAUGUAUUAAAUAUAGUUGAAAGCUAUAUUCAUUGCAUGUAAACGCAUUUGGUAUUCUAGUAUAGAAUGACUAGAACGCACGUUCUAUGCCACACGCUACUUUCUAGUUUUCGGUUAUAUUCAUUCUAAUUCAGAACAAAAACAUCUUAUGCUUACAAAUAAUCUUUAUUGCCAUUACUUUAGUUACAGUCCUGGGAGAUACAAGGAUAUGCAGGCCUGCACAGAUCUUACACUAUUCAAAGCGGCGGCUUGUGUCAGUUAGAGAAGAUCUCGAUAGUUGAAAUGACAAAGAUUUUAUUAAAGACGAGUGCAGAUUAUGUGUGGUUUUGAGUCUGUUAACCCUUCGAUUUCUGCCGAUUAAUAUUUACUUUGUUCCGUAAUGCUAAUGAAACCAAACCAUUUUCAGUUGCUUACCAAGGGUAUAUGAGUUUUUCAACAUUCGACUUCUGACGCCUUGAGUUUGCAGUCUGCGACUCAGUGCCCAUCCAUAGUAUAUAAACAACGGCGAUUUAUAUCUCAUAUGUAGUGCCUUCUUAUAACGCAGUAUUUUAAAUCACUAACGCUCAAUACACAGCGUCGCCUUACGACCGAAGCGUAGAGACAUUCGAUACUGGAAAACAUAAAGGCUGCGGAGUGAUAAGUUACUUUAUUAUUAAUUAGUUAGAGUCGAUAGAUCUCCGAUGCGGCUGUGCACAGAAAAUCUAUCGGCUCUCUGGUGACGGCAGAAUAUCGGAGAUUUUGCCCAGUCUAAAUACAAAAUUUUAGAAGACAGAUGAACUCACGCUUUCAUUUGUGAAACUUUUGUUACACACUCUUGGUGCGCAAGCUCUCAAGUAAUUGUCAAUCAUAAAGCGUUUGUAUUUAAUGAACUUCUACGGCGUUUAUGUUGGCGCGAAAAUCUGUGGGGUUUUAUUACACGAAAAAAACGUGUUCCGUAUGAUAUCGAAUAGACAGUGGCUUUAGAUCGAAUAGAAAUCCUUUUUUUAGCAUCUUAAUACGAUGUGAUUGAGGGUUGAUAAUUUACAGGAUCUACAUAUUUCAUAAAGGUCUGCGCAUUCGUAGAAGCUUUUAUUGGGUAUCUGACAAGGCAGGCCUCCUGCCAAAGUUUGUUUUUGCAAAAAUGCAUUGUAAUAAACUAUGACACUGUUUCGGGUUCGCCAACGACACGUAACUACACAGUUUAUGUGAAUAACGAACGUUAGUUUUAUCAUUUUUCUAAUGGUAAAAUUAAGACUCUAGGAUGUACUAUCCUUAAACUCUUAUUUUAAACUUAUUUUACAUUUUGUACUCUAACGGAAAGACAAGCUAGGCUUCAAAAGCUUUGACUUUGUGUUUUCAAGUCUCAAAUACACGGACUGCAUAUUUUCACGACAUAAACUUUUUGAAAUAAUUAUCUAACAGAGUUAAUACUUCACUAACAACUAAAAGAGUACAUUGACAACAGUGUACGCUUACGGAGCAUUUCAUUUUAGGAGUGAACUGGAUGCUUCUCGGUAAUAAAAAAAGGUUAAAAUCUUCACGACUGUGGCAAAGCCCAUAUGUGUAACGCAAUGUAAUGAACAUCACAAUUCAGGAUACCAGUAUUAAAUAUUCCUAUUGAGUGACUCUGGAUUUGAGGAAAAAUACUUGAGAAUAUUUCCUGUCAAAACAAAUGUAAAAGUGUCCCAGUAGUCAUUUAGGUAUGAAUAUAUGUACAGAUAUUUUCAUAUGUGUCUAUAUGCCAGUAUUUGUUCCUAUUUUUCCAACCUUUAGUUCCUGAGCGUGGGGUCUAAGUGUUUUUUUCAGUGUUCGUAUUACAUAACGUAUGAAACUAAGUGUACUUUUGUUUUUCUUUGAAAGCAUAACGUGGGUUCGUCGCGAAAACAGUUGACACCACAAAUCGCUCAAAAAAUGUCCGUUCUUCCACCCGAAACAUCAAUGAAACAUACCAAAAGUAACCAGGAAUUUUAAAUGUAUGCAUUCCACAGACGAAUUCAGCUUCUCCAGUCAUAGUCACAUGUAAAUAGAAGCAAGUUUUUUACGUGUCGAUCGAUUGGAUUUAUGUUCUUUUCGAGUGUACAAAUAAAUUGAGGCGAAGCAUGGUGUUGGUUUACUUGAGUGGAAAAUUCAUCUAUCAGGUAUCACCUUCCUAUCAAUACCUGUUUCCCAGCAUGCUUAUAGUAAGGGGCCAAUGUCGGACCCAAUGAAGUUUUUUCCAAGCGUCCUGUCAACCUACAAUGUACGCAGUCAAUGUUCGUAAGGUCGGUCGCGAUCACGGGUGGCAAGAACUAACCCAGAGUAGACAAUCUUCGUACGCGACCUAAUCUAUCAUAUUAUCUCCCUUACACCGUCUAAAUAUCAACGACGUUAUAAGAAAAAAUACGUAAGUUUUAUUGUAUGUGCAUUUUUUUUUGGCAGAAACAAUAGCCCAUAAUGCUAUUGAGCAACCUAGUGCCUCUCAUGAGGUGAUAUGAUAGUCGUUGAUCAAUCCUCGUGCAAUUAUAUAUAUAUAUAUAUAUAUAUAUAUUGAUAUAUAUAUAUAUUGAUAUAUUCAUACAGUGUGGGCAAAAGUCUCUUAACAGUUGGAAAAUCUUCAUUUCACACCUGUUGAAAUAAAAUGUAGUGAAAACAAGAACAACGAUAGCAAAGUAAAAACUCCCAAGUUGUAAAGUGACUUUUUCACACUGCCGAAAAAUGUUUGCCCCUUACAACAUUACAAUGUCAUUGAUAUACCAUGUCACUAUAAAAUGCCCGAGAUGGACUACGUGCUAUGUACAAAUAACCGGACUUUAUGCCGAAGAAAUAUAGAACAAUGUAGGUUAGAGGGACUAAUUUCCGUGGGUAAGAUGUCUGGAGAUCGUAUCAUCCUGGGAAAAUGCACAUUAGUGCAUUUGCGUUCCGCUGAAACGCAUGUAUACAAAUUACCAAACUAUUGCUUCAUUCAUACAGUAUGUGUAUAAAUAUACGGUUUUAAAAUAAACCAACAUUG